GGAAUUUAUGGAACAAGGGGCGGGGCCGGGGUGCUACAGGGUUACAGCUGGCAGCCCGGGCCUCCACUCUCAAGUGACAGAACUGCACGCUUGAGAACUGCCUGCUGCUCAAGACAGCUGGAGUAGCGUGACUGGAACGUGGCGGCACGUGCUCGCACACUCCCAAGUCUCGCGAGGACUAACUUGAGCCGAACGUUGGUCUCGCGCUUGCGCAUAGUGGGCCUCGUGCCUUCCCGCGUUUUUCUAGACUCUUCCACCGCUGAAAAGGAAGUGGCAGACUCCUGUGAAGGAGCUGGAUCAGCAUGCCUACCUUAAAGUCCUCGGGGUCUUCCCCGCAGCUACAUAGCUCCUCCUCCCCCAGUAGUGUGUCCUCUUCACUACAAAGAACUGUGGGAGUUGCGCAGAGGGCCUUGUCGGCUUCUUCUAGUUCUUCUAUCAAUCUACCCUGUGAAGAUAAGGACUCAGAGCUGGCUUCCAAGGGGGCUGGUCCCUCUUUGUCGGGUGAUGAAGGCAGUGACUUUGAAGACAGCCUGAGGCGGAAUGUGAAGAAGAGAAGAGCAAAACGACCACACAAAACAACCCCAGUGGCAAAACAUCCAAAGAAGGGGUCCCAAAUUAUAUGUCGAAAGGUCCAGAAAAAGUCAGAGCUACCAGCCUGUGAUCUCUUUGAUGCCGUGAAAGCUGCCAAAAGUGAUAUGCAGUCUUUGGUGGAUGAGUGGCUGGAAAGCUACAAGCAAGAUGAGGAUACAGGAUUCCUGGAGCUCGUUAACUUUUUCAUUCGAUCUUGUGGAUGUAAAGGCACUGUGACCCCUGAGAUGUUCAAGAAGAUGUCCAACUCAGAGGUCAUCCGGCACCUGACAGAACAGUUUAAUGAGGACUCAGGGGACUAUCCCCUGACAGCAUCAGGUCCAUCCUGGAAGAAGUUCCAGGGCAGCUUUUGUGAGUUUGUGAAAAUGUUGGUCUGUCAGUGCCAGUACAGCCUCCUCUAUGAUGGCUUUCCUAUGGAUAACCUCAUCUCUCUGCUCACUGGCCUUUCGGAUUCCCAAGUCCGUGCCUUCCGUCACACUAGCACCCUGGCUGCCAUGAAGCUGAUGACUUCCCUGGUAAGAGUUGCCCUCCAAUUGAGUCUGCACAAAGACAACAGUCAGCGUCAGUAUGAGUCUGAAAGAAACAAAGGACCAGAGCAGAGAUCACCUGAGAGGCUGGAGAGCCUCCUGGAGAAACGCAAAGAGCUCCAAGAGCAUCAAGAGGAGAUUGAGGGGAUGAUGAACGCCAUCUUCAGGGGUGUCUUUGUCCAUCGGUACAGGGACAUCCUUCCUGAGAUCCGUGCUAUCUGCAUUGAGGAGAUUGGAUGUUGGAUGCAAAGCUAUGGUACCUCUUUCCUUACUGACAGCUAUUUAAAAUAUAUUGGCUGGACCCUGCAUGAUAAGCACCGGGAUGUCCGUUUGACAUGCCUGAAAGCUCUGCAAGGGCUGUACAGCAACCGGGAGCUGACUGCUCGCCUGGAGCUGUUCACCAGCCGCUUCAAGGAUCGGAUGGUUUCCAUGGUCAUGGACAGAGAGUACGAUGUGGCAGUGGAGGCCGUCAGGUUGCUGAUCUUGAUCCUGAAGAACAUGGAAGGUGUGCUGACCAGUGCAGACUGUGAGAGCGUCUACCCUGUCGUGUAUGCUUCUCAUCGCCCCCUAGCUGCUGCUGCAGGGGAGUUUCUGUACUGGAAGCUGUUCUACCCUGAGUUCGAGAUGAGAGCAGUUUUUGGCAGAGAGCGACACCGAAGUCCACAUGCCCAGAGGACUUUCUUCCACCUUCUGCUGUACUUUUUUAUGGAGGUUGAGCUCCAUGACCAUGCCACUUACUUAGUAGACAGCCUGUGGGAUUGUGCAGGGCCUCAUCUCAAGGACUGGGAGAGUCUCACAAGCCUGCUGCUGGAGAAGGACCAGAACCUGAGUGACGUGCAGGAGAACACGCUGAUAGAAAUCCUUGUGUCCAGUGCCCGACAAGCUGUGGAGGGUCACCCGCCUGUGGGGCGGGUCAGUGGGAGGAAGGGCCUAUCUGCUAAAGAACGCAAGGUCCAAGCUGAUGACAAGGUGAAACUGACAGAGCAUCUCAUUCCCCUGUUGCCUCAGCUCCUGGCCAAGUUCUCAGCUGAUGCAGAGAAGGUUGCUCCCCUGCUCCAGCUCCUCAACUACUUUGACCUCAGCAUCUACUGCACUGGGCGCUUGGAGAAGCACCUGGAGCUGCUCUUGCAGCAGCUCCAAGAAGUGGUGGUGAAGCACACAGAGCCCCCCGUGCUUGAGGCUGGUGCACAAGCCCUCUAUGUGCUCUGUAAGCCUGAGUUCACAUUCUUCAGCCGGGUUGACUUUGCCCGCAGCCAACUAGUGGACUUGUUGACCGACCGCUUCCAGCAGGAGCUUGAGGAGCUGCUACAGUCGUCUUUCCUAGAUGAGGAUGAGGUAUACAGUCUGACAGCUACUCUGAAACGUCUCUCUGCCUUUUACAAUGCUCAUGAUCUGACUCGCUGGGAGCUCUAUGACCCAUGCUACCGUCUCCUCCGGAAGGCUGUGGACACGGGAGAGGUUCCACACCAGGUGAUCCUGCCAGCCUUGACUCUUGUCUAUUUUUCCAUCCUCUGGACACUAACCCACAUUUCUGGGUCAGGUGGUUCCCAGAAGCAGUUGUUGAGUCUGAAGGGCAAAAUGGUGGCCGUCUGUGAACUCUGCCAGAACUACCUCUCUGGUGUGGAUCUGCAGAUCCAGGAGCAGGCUUUUGUUUUAUUGACUGAUCUGCUUCUCAUCUUCAGCCCUCAGAUGAUUGCAGGGGGACGAGAUUUCCUUAGGCCCCUCAUCUUUUUUCCAGAAGCUACUCUCCAAUCUGAAUUAGCCAGCUUCCUCAUGGACCACGUCUUCCUUCAGUCUGGAGACCUGGGCAGUGGUCAGACCCAGGAUGAUCACAAGCAGAUAGAGCAGCUGAACCAGCGGCGCCGCCUCCUUGCUGGGUUCUGCAAGCUGUUGCUCUAUGGGGUACUGGAGCUGGAUGCAGCCUCGGAUGUUUUCAAACACUACAACAAGUUUUAUAAUGACUAUGGUGACAUUAUCAAGGAAACAUUGACCAGAGCAAGGCAGAUUGACCGAAGCCAUUGUUCCCGAAUCCUGCUACUGAGUCUCAAGCAGCUAUACACAGAACUGCUUCAGGAGCAGGGACCCCAAGGUCUAAGUGAAUUGCCAGCCUUCAUGGAGAUGAGGGACCUGGCCCGGAAGUUUGCCUUGAGCUUUGGACCCCAGCAACUGCAGAACCGUGACAUUGUGAUGAAGCUCCACAGUGAUUUUGCCCCACUAAGGGAAGGCAUCAAGUUCUCCUUGUCCGAGCUUCCUCCAUCUGGCUCCUCUGAUGAGCCCCCAAAUCUGGCAUUCCUGGAGCUCCUUUCAGAGUUCUCUCCCCGCCUUUUCCAUCAAGACAAGCAGCUGCUACUGUCCUACCUGGAAAAGUGUCUGCAGCGUGUCCCCCAAACACCUGGCUGUCCCUGGGGUCCGGUCACUACUUACCGCCACUCCCUCAGCCCUGUAGAGAGCACAGCAGAGGCCAACCCUCAGGGCCACUCCCGCUCCAAGAAGAGGCGUAUUGAAGGCCCCAGCAAGCAUCAGAGAGCAGACCAAGAAGAAAGCUUGCAGCUCAACAGUGUCCCACCCACACCUACCCUCACUUCCACUGCUGUGAAGAGCAAGCAGCCCCUGGGGGUGCUGGGAGAGACUGAAGAAGAAGAUGGCUUGGAAUCAGAGUUCAGCCAAAGCCGGUUCCUCUCAGGUACCCAGAGGCCGAGGUUCUCAGGUGCACAGUAUUUUCAGACUUCAUCCAGCCCUUCAGGGCCUGGUCUGGACAACAAGCUGACCCGACUCAGCCUUAUGGAAGAGGAUGAAGAAGAGCUAGAAAGUCUGGAUGAAUCAAGUGAAGAAUGGCAGAAUACAAAGAAGCAACCUGGUAGCCACUCUUCCCUCAGUGAACAUGGACUGGACCUACUGGAUUCCACAGAGCUGAACAUAGAGGAUUUCUGACCAGACCCUGUGCCCCUCCCUUCACCAUUCCCCACCUCAAGGACAUGACCACUUGGAAAAGACAAAGAGGAGGAAGAAGCAAAAUGAAGAGUUUCUUGAGGCCUCAGCUCUUGCCUCUGAGGAGGAGAGGUGGCUUUGCCUUUCUCACCAAGCCUCCUCUCCAGAGGUGUAGAGAAGCUGAGAGUCCCCGUCCUCCCUGAUGUGCUGUGGUGCUGAUCUCUGUUUCUGCUGUGAUUGGAGUGAGGUUCUCACUGUGGUCUUCCAGGCUGGAACAGCCAUCCAACCUGUUGUGCAAAAAGAAGGAUGAGUUUAGUGACCAGGCCAUUCACUCAGCCAGAACCAUUUCUUCGUCCUUCCACCUCCUACACUGUUCCCAUCUUCUUCCCCAGUCCUACCC